rnacentral:rRNA from 1 species
AUGUCAACUAGCCGUUGGGAGCCUUGAGCUCUUAGUGGCGCAGCUAACGCAUUAAGUUGACCGCCUGGGGAGUACGGCCGCAAGGUUAAAACUCAAAUGAAUUGACGGGGGCCCGCACAAGCGGUGGAGCAUGUGGUUUAAUUCGAAGCAACGCGAAGAACCUUACCAGGCCUUGACAUCCAAUGAACUUUCUAGAGAUAGAUUGGUGCCUUCGGGAACAUUGAGACAGGUGCUGCAUGGCUGUCGUCAG